UACGGAGGGCGCAAACGUUGUUCGGAAUUACUGGGCGUAAAGCGCGUGUAGGCGGCCAGGUAAGUCGGAUGUGAAAGCCCGGGGCCCAACCCCCGAACUGCACCCGAUACUGCCCGGCUGGAGUCCCGGAGAGGAUGGCGGAAUUUCCGGUGUAGAGGUGAAAUUCGUAGAUAUCGGAAGGAACACCAGUGGCGAAGGCGGCCAUCUGGACGGUGACUGACGCUGAGACGCGAAAGCGUGGGGAGAAAACAGG
rnacentral:rRNA from 1 species